rnacentral:rRNA from 1 species
CCCUUAGAUGUCCGGGGCCGCACGCGCGCUACACUGAAGGAAUCAGCGUGGCUUUCUCCCUGACCCGAAAGGGUUGGGAAACCCGUUGAAUCUCCUUCGUGAUAGGGAUUGGGGCUUGAAAUUGUUCCCCAUGAACGAGGAAUUCCCGGUAAGCGCGAGUCAUAAGCUCGCGUUGAUUACGUCCCUGCCCUUUGUACACACCGCCCGUCGCUACUACCGAUUGAACGGUUUAGUGAGGGCCUCGGAUUGGUCUCGGCCCGCUCUUUACCGGGCGGCGCCGUUGGUCGAGAAGACGCUCGAACUUGAUCGUUUAGAGGAAGUAAAAGUCGUAACA